UCGAGAGUGAAGAAGAAUCGAAAUUUGCGUUUUGAAAAGUCAUUCGCUGAGUCUGACUCUCACGGGUUUCCCGUUUACAAUAAGCUGUUGGGAGGAACAAAAUGCUAAGCAGCCAAUUGUGUGACCACAUUUUUGAGUGACAAAAGUCUUCAAGCAAUCAGCGCUUGCAGUCUGCAGAGGGAUCCCUUCCUGCGCGUGCAACCACAUGUUUGCACAAAUCGGAAACCCUGUAGGCUAUUAAUGUGCACAUAUUGCGUGUUGGUAGACCUCCAUGGCUAAAUUAUUAUGAAGAGAAACUAUCCAUCCAGGAGUGAAAAAAGAAAGAAGAAAAAAGAAGACGAGGGGAGAAGAAAGCAAGAUGGUGAAGAAGACGUCAUCGAAGAGUGGUAAGAAGAAAAAGAAGGACAGAGAUCUUACAGCUGAUAGGUGACAGUGGGUAUCCGCUGAAACGGUGGCUGCUCACGCCAUUUAUGAACCCCCAAACGCCUGAGGAGACCACUUACAACCUGCGCCACAGCCAGGCGCGCGCUGUUGUGGAGCGCACCAUCGGGCUCCUGAAGGGCAGAUGGCGUUGUCUGGAUGCCACGGGGGGAGCGCCAUGUUACAGACCCGAAAAGGUCUGUAGGAUUGUUAGGGCCUGUACUGUGCUGCACAAUGCGGCACAGCUACAAAACGUGCCUUUGCAAGCUGAAGAGGUCAACCUUGAUCUCGAUCCCGAUCCCUAUCCCCAGGCAUUCCACCCAAACGCAGGAGCCGUGCGCCAGCGCGAGGAGGUGAUGCGCCGCUUAUAAAUAAUUAGCACUGCAUCUGUUAGGACACGGGCGCUGGUGGCUGGUUUCGGCAUGGAUGCACAUGCAUCGGAGGCCGUGGACGUCCUUGGGACCUCCGCUGCCGCAGCCGACACACUGCUGGCCUCACUGGCACACCCAGCAAAUGCGAGGGAAUUUUUUUUUUGUUAAUAAAAUACUUUUUCUGGA